rnacentral:rRNA from 1 species
GACGAACCGUGCGAACGUUGUUCGGAAUCACUGGGCUUAAAGGGCGCGUAGGCGGGCUGCCAAGUCUGGGGUGAAAUCCCACGGCUCAACCGUGGAACUGCCUCAGAUACUGGCGGCCUCGAGGGGGGUAGGGGCAUGCGGAACUAUGCGUGGAGCGGUGAAAUGCGUUGAUAUGCAUAGGAACUCCGGUGGCGAAGGCGGCGUGCUGGACCCUUUCUGACGCUGAGGCGCGAAAGCCAGGGGAGCGAACGGG